AAAUCAUAUCAAAUGUUGGUUUAAUUUUCAUUUCAAUUGCAAUAGAACACCGCUUUGAACGGGAAGAUAUCGUUUACUUCUCUUUCGAGAUGAGCUUAAUGGAAGUCUUCGAUUGUCAAGAUCGUCUCGAAAGACAAAGAACAUCAUGAAAGAAAAAAGUCUUCGUCCUAACAGCCGAACCGGGCCCGCUUCGCUGCGUCUUCUUUAACUCUCUAAUAUAUUUUUAGGGUGGGGAAACUUCGCCUUGAAUGUGGAUAUCGAAUUCGUGCCACUGUAGCCCAUGUCCGUCUAUGAUGCUGAUCGCCUGCGUUCGGAUCCUGGCGAGAACAUUCGAACAAAUUUAAAACGACAUGACGUUCGGGCUCGGCUAUAAAAAAAGGUCCCUUAUAAUGGACUUUAAACUUAAAGGCCUGGUUAUACUGUCGAAAAUGUAGAACAAAUUUAUCGAAAAUGUAAAGAGGCAAUUAUGCUUAUUACCAAA